rnacentral:tRNA from 1 species
CGACGUCGUGGCGCGGUUGUCCUACGGGCCACCGGCCCGCACCGGGGGGACCGUGCACGGUCUGGUGUCGGCGCGGGCCCGGCGGACGCCGACC